GAAAUGCGAUAAGUAAUGUGAAUUGCAGAAUUCAGUGAAUCACCGAAUCUUUGAACGCACCUUGCGCUCCUUGGUAUUCCGAGGAGCAUGCCUGUUUGAGUGUCAUGGAAUUCUCAACUCUAUUUGCUUUUGUGAAUAGAGCUUGGAUUUGGAGGUUUAUUGCUGGUACUUGUGAUCGGCUCCUCUUGAAUGCAUUAGCUCGAACCUUUGCGGAUCAGCUAUCGGUGUGAUAAUUGUCUACGCCGUUGCAGUGAAGCAUAUCAAUGGGCUCGGCUUCCAAUCGUCCUUUACUGGACAAUGACUUUGACCUUUGACCUCAAAUCAGGUAGGAUUACCCGCUGAACUUAAGC
rnacentral:misc_RNA from 1 species